rnacentral:lncRNA from 10 species
CACGCCACGCAGAGGUGAAGAUACGCAGGACGUCCUCUAAAGCAACUUCCGUGGGUGCCAGGUUGUGGGCUGGGGGCGGUGCUGACCUUGAGAGAGCGGAGGAGGCGCAGGCGCAGCACAGUUUAAACUUGAUUUUGUGAGGGGACGAACAGCGUGACAAUUAAAAGAAGAUCUGGGAAUCAAAAGCUUCCUGAGGCCUUCACCAGAAGCAGAUGCUGGUGCCGUGCUUCUACAGCCUGCAGAACUGAAGGACUUUACAGCUUCUCUUUCGCAUAUCCAAAUUGCCAGCAUCACCGCUCUUGCACUCCAAGCCAUUAUUAAGUAAAGUAAAGAACACAAACACUGUGAUACUGCUACACUUGAUCUGAUAACCAAGAAGUCUACUAAGUGACUAACAGUUAAUAUUUUUGGACAUGAGGUGACUGCAGUUAACUAAAACCAUGGAAAGCAAACCCAUAGAUAAAGGGAUACUAUGCAGAGCAACUGGGAACCUAAUUCUGACCAAAAAGGAGGAAUUGUUUGGCUAAUUGGAAGUGACAGAAACCUUGGGAGAAAGCAACCGCAUACCAAGGAUAAUUAUAAGAAGGAAGAGAAGACAUGGAGAAGAGGAGGGAGUAGUUGUGACCGUGGAGGCAGAGAAUGGAGUAAUGUGAUCAUAAAUCAAGGAAUGCUGACAGCCACUAAAGCUGGAGAAGGCCAAGGACAGAUAUUCAAUCCUCCCGUAGAAGUACAGCCCUGCUAAUGCAUUGAUUUUGGACUUCUGGCCUCAGAACUGUAAGAGAAUAAAUUUCUAUUGUUUUAAGCCUUCAGUUUGUGGUAGUUUGUUACAGAAACCCUGUAAAGUUAAUACACAGAGUUCAAAGAGAAUCCGGUAAUAUCUCUAAAAGACUCGUGUAUUAGUCAGGAUUCUCCAGAGAAGCAAAGCCAAUAGAAUGAUACAUGUUGUUAAAGCAAAUUAAAAUGGAGACCAUGCCUGAAGAAUCUCUGUGCAGAGAAACCCAGUUAGGCCUCAUAAGUUAACCUUACUUGAUUUGCAAACAUAAUCUAAAAGUUAACUGGAGCUAUUUCCGGUAAAUGAAUAUAACACAACUUAAGCUCAAUCAGUCAGAAGCAGCUUUAUAAUUAUGUAGCUAGGGACUUUCCAAGAGGAUGACCAAAG